rnacentral:rRNA from 1 species
GACGUCGCGAGAAUUCCACUGAACCUUAUCAUUUAGAGGAAGGAGAAGUCGUAACAAGGUUUCCGUAGGUGGACCUGCAGAAGGAUCAUUG